CCUACGGGAGACAGCAGUGAGGAAUAUUGGUCAAUGGGCGCGAGCCUGAACCAGCCAAGUAGCGUGAAGGAUGACUGCCCUACGGGUUGUAAACUUCUUUUGUCGAGGAAUAAAGUGAGUCACGUGUGCCUCUUUGUGUGUACUUGAUGAAUAAGCAUCGGCUAACUCCGUGCCAGCAGCCGCGGUAAUACGGCGGAUCCGAGCGUUAUCCGGAUUUAUUGGGUUUAAAGGGUGCGUAGACGGGAUGUCAAGUCAGGUGUGAAAGUUUGGGGCUCAAACGCAAAAUUGCAGUUGAAACUGGCAGCCUUGAGUGCAGGAGAGGUAUGCGGAAUGCGUGGUGUAGCGGUGAAAUGCAUAGAUAUCACGAAGAACUCCGAUUGCGAAGGCAGCUUACUAACGCGCAACUGACAUUGAUGCACGAAAGCGUGGGUAUCAAACAGGAUUAGAUACCCGGGUAGUC
rnacentral:rRNA from 1 species